AGUUAUGUCUUUAAUCAAUCAAAAUUGUUCGCCGUGAAACUAACUCUCGCCAAUCCGCACCUGCUCGCUUCAGCUUGAGGCAAUCUGCUGUAGACUUCCAUCAUGUUGACGGCUGAUGCUGUUUCCCACCCAUUCGACAGGAGCCGUUCUUUCUAGAAUGUACAGUGGAGAGAAAAGGGAAGGCACAAGGCACUGUUGUACAAAUCCAAGGCACUCUUGGAGCACAUGAGAAUUUCUCUUAGAUGACUCCUUUUUCAAAAGCCCAUCCCGGCCCCCCUCUUUCUUCUUUUUCUUUCCCAAUUUUCUACACCGAACAUGCAUUGUUGUCAUGGGAGAGAAGUCACUAAUGUAUAUUUAAAGAGAAAUAAAGGAAGGAACUUCUCCGUGAGCAAGAGUGUUUGAAUGCGUUCGAGGGUGGGUGCUAUGGAGGAGUUUCGGCUGAUGUGUGAGAUGGCGGCCCAGGUCUUGGACCUCUUUAGCGUGACGAACCAGUGGCCCACGUGGAACCCCAGCUGCCUGUUCAGGUGGGCACUCGACAGGGCUUCUCACAUUCUCUGAUCUGAGAAGGGAGUGUGCGUUUCCCUGGGGGGUUAAGGGUGCCAAAGGAUGUCCCCGCCCUGCUCUCCAACCUGUGACUCUAACGACUUGCAGGUCUCCACUCCCGCCAGGUCACACUGUCGCCUCCGCAGGUUUUCGAUCAUGAUCUGUCCGAACCGGUCGUCCAUGUUCACCUGGGAAGGGAAAGAGGAGGCUGGGCAAUGCCAGAAGGGCUUCUCGAAUACGCAAAAUCAGACAACAGUAUUCUGUUUCUGAGCCGUCAAGGCUGAUGUUUGCUAAUACCCAGUGCAGUCAACGGAGUCGGGUGCAGGCACGGCACGCAGGGCCGACGACAGCGUCGUCUGCUGCCGCCCCCUGCGGGGCAACCGGGCGGUGUGCGCUCGGCCUGGGAGCCGGUCAGACCACUGAGCGGCUGCUCCACAGGUAGACUCCCACGUGCACGCCAGGUGCAAGAGGGUUUACUCCGCAGCAUGAUGUGUAACGGGCCCUAUGACAGAAAGGACUCACAUGCCCAUCCGCUGGGGUUAAAGCAGCUGUGGCAUGGUCGUUUAGUGAAAUAUUGCAUCGCCAUGAAAACAGCAAGAGGACAUCCGAGUAGAUGUAGGUACAGAUGGAAACACACAUACAGACACAGAUACAGAUGUGGAAUGAUUGUCAGAUAACAGACUCUCGAAAAGUACAGUACAGAGGGAUGUGCAUAACAUGCUCCUGUCUGCCCUUAAGAAAAAAAAUCUCUAGCUACGUUUACAUAUGCACAGAAUAAUUCUGGAAUCUGGCAGUGUUGCUUCCCAGGUUGGAGGACUCACUAAGGUCUGGGGUAGAAGAGACACUUACCUUUCCCUGCAUACCCUUUUGUACUAUUUGAUUGUUUUUUGAAGUUUUGCAUGUGGUGUUACUUAUCUAAUGAGAAACCACUUAAAACCCCCUUCUUACAA